AGUCGAGCGGUAACACAGGGAGCUUGCUCCUGGGUGACGAGCGGCGGACGGGUGAGUAAUGUCUGGGAAACUGCCUGAUGGAGGGGGAUAACUACUGGAAACGGUAGCUAAUACCGCAUAACGUCGCAAGACCAAAGAGGGGGACCUUCGGGCCUCUUGCCAUCAGAUGUGCCCAGAUGGGAUUAGCUAGUAGGUGGGGUAACGGCUCACCUAGGCGACGAUCCCUAGCUGGUCUGAGAGGAUGACCAGCCACACUGGAACUGAGACACGGUCCAGACUCCUACGGGAGGCAGCAGUGGGGAAUAUUGCACAAUGGGCGCAAGCCUGAUGCAGCCAUGCCGCGUGUAUGAAGAAGGCCUUCGGGUUGUAAAGUACUUUCAGCGGGGAGGAAGGUGUUGAGGUUAAUAACCUCAGCAAUUGACGUUACCCGCAGAAGAAGCACCGGCUAACUCCGUGCCAGCAGCCGCGGUAAUACGGAGGGUGCAAGCGUUAAUCGGAAUUACUGGGCGUAAAGCGCACGCAGGCGGUCUGUCAAGUCGGAUGUGAAAUCCCCGGGCUCAACCUGGGAACUGCAUUCGAAACUGGCAGGCUAGAGUCUUGUAGAGGGGGGUAGAAUUCCAGGUGUAGCGGUGAAAUGCGUAGAGAUCUGGAGGAAUACCGGUGGCGAAGGCGGCCCCCUGGACAAAGACUGACGCUCAGGUGCGAAAGCGUGGGGGAGCAAACAGGAUUAGAUACCCUGGUAGUCCACGCCGUAAACGAU
rnacentral:rRNA from 1 species